rnacentral:pre_miRNA from 1 species
ACAGUACUCCCUCCGUCCGAAAAUACUUGUCAUCAAAAUGGAUAAAAAAAGAUGUAUCUAGAACUAAAAUACAUCUAGAUACAUCCCCUUUUAUUUAUUUUGAUGACAAGUAUUUUCGGACGGAGGGAGUAGAAG